rnacentral:rRNA from 1 species
CCUACGGGUGGCAGCAGUGGGGAAUAUUGGACAAUGGGAGGAACCCUGAUCCAGCCAUGCCGCGUGUGUGAAGAAGGCCCUCGGGUUGUAAAGCACUUUCAGUGAGGAAGAACGCCUGGUGGUUAAUACCCAUCAGGAAAGACAUCACUCACAGAAGAAGCACCGGCUAACUCCGUGCCAGCAGCCGCGGUAAUACGGAGGGUGCGAGCGUUAAUCGGAAUUACUGGGCGUAAAGCGCGCGUAGGUGGCUUGAUAAGCCGGUUGUGAAAGCCCCGGGCUCAACCUGGGAACGGCAUCCGGAACUGUCAAGCUAGAGUGCAGGAGAGGAAGGUAGAAUUCCCGGUGUAGCGGUGAAAUGCGUAGAGAUCGGGAGGAAUACCAGUGGCGAAGGCGGCCUUCUGGACUGACACUGACACUGAGGUGCGAAAGCGUGGGUAGCAAACAGGAUUAGAUACCCCGGUAGUC